rnacentral:rRNA from 1 species
GACGAACGCUGGCGGCGUGCCUAAUACAUGCAAGUAGAACGCUGAAGGAGGAGCUUGCUUCUCUGGAUGUGUUGCGAACGGGUGAGUAACGCGUAGGUAACCUGCCUGGUAGCGGGGGAUAACUAUUGGAAACGAUAGCUAAUACCGCAUAACAGUAGAUGUUGCAUGACAUUUGCUUAAAAGGUGCAAUUGCAUCACUACCAGAUGGACCUGCGUUGUAUUAGCUAGUUGGUGGGGUAACGGCUCACCAAGGCGACGAUACAUAGCCGACCUGAGAGGGUGAUCGGCCACACUGGGACUGAGACACGGCCCAGACUCCUACGGGAGGCAGCAGUAGGGAAUCUUCGGCAAUGGACGAAAGUCUGACCGAGCAACGCCGCGUGAGUGAAGAAGGUUUUCGGAUCGUAAAGCUCUGUUGUAAGAGAAGAACGAGUGUGAGAGUGGAAAGUUCACACUGUGACGGUAUCUACCAGAAA